rnacentral:rRNA from 1 species
GCAGUCGUACGAGAAAGUCGCCUUCGGGUGAUGAGUACAGUGGCGCACGGGUGAGUAUCACGUGGGUAAUCUACCCCCAGGUUCGGGACAACUCCGGGAAACUGGAGCUAAUACCGGAUAAGCCCCCAGGGUCUUCGGACCCAGUGGGAAAAGGUGGCCUCUUCUUGAAAGCUGCCGCCUGCUGAUGAGCCCGCGUCCCAUUAGCUUGUUGGUGAGGUAACGGCUCACCAAGGCUUCGAUGGGUAGCUGGUCUGAGAGGAUGAUCAGCCACACUGGAACUGAGACACGGUCCAGACUCCUACGGGAGGCAGCAGUCGGGAAUCUUGGGCAAUGGGCGCAAGCCUGACCCAGCAACUCCGCGUGAGGGAUGAAGGCCCUCGGGUCGUAAACCUCUGUCGGGAGGGAAGAAAGCCGUGUGGUUAAUAGCUACACGGUCUGACGGUACCUCCAAAGGAAGCGCCGGCUAACUCCGUGCCAGCAGCCGCGGUAAUACGGAGGGCGCGAGCGUUGUUCGGAAUCAUUGGGCGUAAAGCGGGUGUAGGCGGCUUGAUAAGUUGGGUGUGAAAGCCCUGGGCCCAACCCAGGAAAUGCACUCGAAACUGUCUCGCUAGAGUCCCGGAGAGGGUGGCGGAAUUCCCGGUGUAGAGGUGAAAUUCGUAGAUAUCGGGAGGAACACCAGUGGCGAAGGCGGCCACCUGGACGGUGACUGACGCUCAGACCCGAAA